UACGGAGGGUGCAAGCGUUGUCCGGAUUUAUUGGGCGUAAAGAGCGUGUAGGCGGCCAUACAGGUCAGCUGUGAAAACUCGAGGCUCAACCUCGAGACGUCGGUUGAAACCGUAUGGCUAGAGUCCGGAAGAGGAGAGUGGAAUUCCCGGUGUAGCGGUGAAAUGCGCAGAUAUCGGGAAGAACACCCGUGGCGAAGGCGGCUCUCUGGGACGGUACUGGACGCUGAGACGCGAAAGCGUGGGGAGCGAACAGG
rnacentral:rRNA from 1 species